GCCUGGGUGGCUUAGGUGGUUAAGCAUCUGACUUUGGCUCAGGUCAUGAUCUCACAGUUUGUGAGUUCGAGCCCCGCAUUGGGCU
rfam:Felis catus isolate Cinnamon breed Abyssinian chromosome A2, whole genome shotgun sequence.